UACGUAGGGGGCAAGCGUUGUCCGGAAUCAUUGGGCGUAAAGAGCGCGUAGGCGGCCCUGUAAGUCCGCUGUGAAAGUCAAGGGCUCAACCCUUGGAUGCCGGUGGAUACUGCAGGGCUAGAGUCCGGAAGAGGCGAGUGGAAUUCCUGGUGUAGCGGUGAAAUGCGCAGAUAUCAGGAGGAACACCGAUGGCGAAGGCAGAUCUCUGGGCCGUAACUGACGCUGAGGAGCGAAAGCAUGGGGAGCGAACAGG
rnacentral:rRNA from 1 species